AGAGUUUGAUCCUGGCUCAGGAUGAACGCUAGCGACAGGCCUAACACAUGCAAGUCGAGGGAGAAGGUAGCAAUACCUGAAACCGGCGCACGGGUGCGUAACGCGUAUGCAACCUACCUUUUACUGGGGGAUAGCUUUCGGAAACGGAAAUUAAUACCCCAUAACACUGCGAGAUCACCUGAUUUUGCAUUUAAAGCUCCGGCGGUAAAAGAUGGGCAUGCGUGACAUUAGCUAGUUGGUAGGGUAACGGCCUACCAAGGCAACGAUGUCUAGGGGUUCUGAGAGGAAGGUCCCCCACACUGGUACUGAGACACGGACCAGACUCCUACGGGAGGCAGCAGUGAGGAAUAUUGGUCAAUGGGCGCAAGCCUGAACCAGCCAUGUCGCGUGCAGGACGACUGCCCUAUGGGUUGUAAACUGCUUUUGUAUGGGAAGAAAUAGUGGUACGUGUACCACUUUGCCGGUACCAUACGAAUAAGGAUCGGCUAACUCCGUGCCAGCAGCCGCGGUAAUACGGAGGAUCCAAGCGUUAUCCGGAUUUAUUGGGUUUAAAGGGUGCGUAGGCGGUUUAAUAAGUCAGUGGUGAAAUCUUGCAGCUUAACUGUAAAAUUGCCAUUGAUACUGCUAGACUUGAGUAUAGUUGAGGUGGGCGGAAUGUGUUGUGUAGCGGUGAAAUGCAUAGAUAUAACACAGAACACCAAUUGCGAAGGCAGCUCACUAAGCUAUAACUGACGCUGAGGCACGAAAGCGUGGGUAGCGAACAGGAUUAGAUACCCUGGUAGUCCACGCCGUAAACGAUGAUUACUCGUUGCAGGCGAUAUACAGUCUGUGACCAAGCGAAAGCAUUAAGUAAUCCACCUGGGGAGUACGUUGGCAACGAUGAAACUCAAAGGAAUUGACGG
rnacentral:rRNA from 1 species